GACGAACGCUGGCGGCGUGCCUAAUACAUGCAAGUCGAACGCAGUUGGGACGGGUGAGUAACCCGUGCUUAACCUCCCAUCAGAGGGGAUAACACUUGGAAACAGGUGCUAAACCGAUACUGCUCGCUGCACCCGCGGUGCAUUAGCUAGUUGGUGAGGUAACGGAUCACCAAGGCCACGAUGCAUAGCCGACCUGGGAGGGUGAUCGGCCACACUGGGACUGAGACACGGCCCAGACUCCUACGGGAGGCAGCAGUAGGGAAUCUUCGGCAAGGGACGAAAGUCUGACCGAGCAACGCCGCGUGAGUGAAGAAGGUUUUCGGAUCGUAAAACUCUGUUGUUAGAGAAGCGGUAUCUAACCAGAAAGCCACGGCUAACUACGUGCCAGCAGCCGCGGUAAUAC
rnacentral:rRNA from 1 species